GAUGAACGCUGGCGGCGUGCCUAACACAUGCAAGUCGAGCGAACAGACGAGGAGCUUGCUCCUCUGACGUUAGCGGCGGACGGGUGAGUAACACGUGGAUAACCUACCUAUAAGACUGGGAUAACUUCGGGAAACCGGAGCUAAUACCGGAUAAUAUAUUGAACCGCAUGGUUCAAUAGUGAAAGACGGUUUUGCUGUCCCUUAUAGAUGGAUCCGCGUCGGAUUAGCUAGUUGGUAAGGUAACGGCUUACCAAGGCGACGAUGCGUAGACGACCUGAGAGGAUGAUCGGCCACACUGGGACUGAGACACGGCCCAGACUCCUACGGGAGGCAGCAGUGGGGAAUUUUGGACAAUGGGGGAAAGCCUGAUACAGCAAGGCCGCGUGAGGGAUGAAGGCCUUCGGGUUGUAAAAUGCUUUUGUUCGGGAAGAAAAAAUUUGUGAUAAUACAGGGGGGGGAUGACGGUACCGGAAGAAUAAGCAGCGGCUAACUACGUG
rnacentral:rRNA from 1 species